rnacentral:rRNA from 2 species
CUGGCUGUGUGCCUAAUACAUGCAUGUCGAGCGGAGUUCUUUUAGGACUUAGCGGCGAAUGGGUGAGUAACACGUACUUAACGUACCUUUUAGUUUGGAAUAACGGUGAGAAAUUAUCGCUAAUGCCGGAUACUUUUUUAUUUCACAUGAGAUUUAAAUAAAAGGAACUUCAAAGUUUCACUAAAAGAUCGGGGUGCGGAACAUUAGCUAGUUGGUAGGGUAAAGGCCUACCAAGGCGAUGAUGUUUAGCGGGGGUGAGAGACUGAUCCGCCACACUGGGACUGAGAUACGGCCCAGACUCCUACGGGAGGCAGCAGUAGGGAAUUUUCCACAAUGGGCGAAAGCCUGAUGGAGCGACACAGCGUGCAGGAUGAAGGCCUUCGGGUUGUAAACUGCUGUUAUAAGGGAAGAAAAAAUAUUAUAAGAAAAGAUAAUAUCUUGACGGUACCUUAUCAGAAAGCA